rnacentral:rRNA from 4 species
UUAAGCGACUAAGCGUACACGGUGGAUGCCCUGGCAGUCAGAGGCGAUGAAGGACGUGCUAAUCUGCGAUAAGCGUCGGUGAGGUGAUAUGAACCGUUAUAACCGGCGAUUUCCGAAUGGGGAAACCCAGUGUGUUUCGACACACUAUCAUUAACUGAAUCCAUAGGUUAAUGAGGCGAACCGGGGGAACUGAAACAUCUAAGUACCCCGAGGAAAAGAAAUCAACCGAGAUUCCCCCAGUAGCGGCGAGCGAACGGGGAGGAGCCCAGAGCCUGAAUCAGUGUGUGUGUUAGUGGAAGCGUCUGGAAAGGCGUGCGAUACAGGGUGACAGCCCCGUACACAAAAAUGCACAUAUUGUGAGCUCGAUGAGUAGGGCGGGACACGUGGUAUCCUGUCUGAAUAUGGGGGGACCAUCCUCCAAGGCUAAAUACUCCUGACUGACCGAUAGUGAACCAGUACCGUGAGGGAAAGGCGAAAAGAACCCCGGCGAGGGGAGUGAAAAAGAACCUGAAACCGUGUACGUACAAGCAGUGGGAGCCUCUUAAUGGGGUGACUGCGUACCUUUUGUAUAAUGGGUCAGCGACUUAUAUUCUGUAGCAAGGUUAACCGAAUAGGGGAGCCGAAGGGAAACCGAGUCUUAACUGGGCGUUAAGUUGCAGGGUAUAGACCCGAAACCCGGUGAUCUAGCCAUGGGCAGGUUGAAGGUUGGGUAACACUAACUGGAGGACCGAACCGACUAAUGUUGAAAAAUUAGCGGAUGACUUGUGGCUGGGGGUGAAAGGCCAAUCAAACCGGGAGAUAGCUGGUUCUCCCCGAAAGCUAUUUAGGUAGCGCCUCGUGAAUUCAUCUCCGGGGGUAGAGCACUGUUUCGGCAAGGGGGUCAUCCCGACUUACCAACCCGAUGCAAACUGCGAAUACCGGAGAAUGUUAUCACGGGAGACACACGGCGGGUGCUAACGUCCGUCGUGAAGAGGGAAACAACCCAGACCGCCAGCUAAGGUCCCAAAGUCAUGGUUAAGUGGGAAACGAUGUGGGAAGGCCCAGACAGCCAGGAUGUUGGCUUAGAAGCAGCCAUCAUUUAAAGAAAGCGUAAUAGCUCACUGGUCGAGUCGGCCUGCGCGGAAGAUGUAACGGGGCUAAACCAUGCACCGAAGCUGCGGCAGCGACACUAUGUGUUGUUGGGUAGGGGAGCGUUCUGUAAGCCUGUGAAGGUGGCCUGUGAGGGUUGCUGGAGGUAUCAGAAGUGCGAAUGCUGACAUAAGUAACGAUAAAGCGGGUGAAAAGCCCGCUCGCCGGAAGACCAAGGGUUCCUGUCCAACGUUAAUCGGGGCAGGGUGAGUCGACCCCUAAGGCGAGGCCGAAAGGCGUAGUCGAUGGGAAACAGGUUAAUAUUCCUGUACUUGGUGUUACUGCGAAGGGGGGACGGAGAAGGCUAUGUUGGCCGGGCGACGGUUGUCCCGGUUUAAGCGUGUAGGCUGGUUUUCCAGGCAAAUCCGGAAAACCAAGGCUGAGGCGUGAUGACGAGGCACUACGGUGCUGAAGCGACAAAUGCCCUGCUUCCAGGAAAAGCCUCUAAGCAUCAGGUAACAUCAAAUCGUACCCAAAACCGACACAGGUGGUCAGGUAGAGAAUACCAAGGCGCUUGAGAGAACUCGGGUGAAGGAACUAGGCAAAAUGGUGCCGUAACUUCGGGAGAAGGCACGCUGAUAUGUAGGUGAAGCGACUCGCUCGUGGAGCUGAAAUCAGUCGAAGAUACCAGCUGGCUGCAACUGUUUAUUAAAAACACAGCACUGUGCAAACACGAAAGUGGACGUAUACGGUGUGACGCCUGCCCGGUGCCGGAAGGUUAAUUGAUGGGGUUAGCGGUAACGCGAAGCUCUUGAUCGAAGCCCCGGUAAACGGCGGCCGUAACUAUAACGGUCCUAAGGUAGCGAAAUUCCUUGUCGGGUAAGUUCCGACCUGCACGAAUGGCGUAAUGAUGGCCAGGCUGUCUCCACCCGAGACUCAGUGAAAUUGAACUCGCUGUGAAGAUGCAGUGUACCCGCGGCAAGACGGAAAGACCCCGUGAACCUUUACUAUAGCUUGACACUGAACAUUGAGCCUUGAUGUGUAGGAUAGGUGGGAGGCUUUGAAGUGUGGACGCCAGUCUGCAUGGAGCCGACCUUGAAAUACCACCCUUUAAUGUUUGAUGUUCUAACGUUGGCCCGUAAUCCGGGUUGCGGACAGUGUCUGGUGGGUAGUUUGACUGGGGCGGUCUCCUCCUAAAGAGUAACGGAGGAGCACGAAGGUUGGCUAAUCCUGGUCGGACAUCAGGAGGUUAGUGCAAUGGCAUAAGCCAGCUUGACUGCGAGCGUGACGGCGCGAGCAGGUGCGAAAGCAGGUCAUAGUGAUCCGGUGGUUCUGAAUGGAAGGGCCAUCGCUCAACGGAUAAAAGGUACUCCGGGGAUAACAGGCUGAUACCGCCCAAGAGUUCAUAUCGACGGCGGUGUUUGGCACCUCGAUGUCGGCUCAUCACAUCCUGGGGCUGAAGUAGGUCCCAAGGGUAUGGCUGUUCGCCAUUUAAAGUGGUACGCGAGCUGGGUUUAGAACGUCGUGAGACAGUUCGGUCCCUAUCUGCCGUGGGCGCUGGAGAACUGAGGGGGGCUGCUCCUAGUACGAGAGGACCGGAGUGGACGCAUCACUGGUGUUCGGGUUGUCAUGCCAAUGGCACUGCCCGGUAGCUAAAUGCGGAAGAGAUAAGUGCUGAAAGCAUCUAAGCACGAAACUUGCCCCGAGAUGAGUUCUCCCUGACUCCUUGAGAGUCCUGAAGGAACGUUGAAGACGACGACGUUGAUAGGCCGGGUGUGUAAGCGCAGCGAUGCGUUGAGCUAACCGGUACUAAUGAACCGUGAGGCUUAACCUU